CCCCUAGAUGUUCUGGGCCGCACGCGCGCUACACUGAACAGUUCAACAAGUCUUAACCUUGGCCGAUAGGUCUGGGUAAUCUUUGAACGCUGUUCGUGAUUGGGAUAGACCUUUGCAAUUAUGGGUCUUCAACGAGGAAUUCCUAGUAAACGCAAGUCAUCAGCUUGCAUUGAUUACGUCCCUGCCCUUUGUACACACCGCACGUCGCACCUACCGAUUGAAUGGUCCGGUGAAAUCUCGGGACGGCGGCUUGGUCGCUUGCGUCCGACUGCUGAAACUUGAUUAAACCAUAUCAUUUAGAGGAAGGUGAAGUCGUANCA
rnacentral:rRNA from 1 species